rnacentral:rRNA from 1 species
CCUACGGGGGGCUGCAGUGGGGAAUAUUGGACAAUGGGGGCAACCCUGAUCCAGCCAUGCCGCGUGUGUGAAGAAGGCCCUCGGGUUGUAAAGCACUUUCAGUGAGGAAGAACGCCUGGUGGUUAAUACCCAUCAGGAAAGACAUCACUCACAGAAGAAGCACCGGCUAACUCCGUGCCAGCAGCCGCGGUAAUACGGAGGGUGCGAGCGUUAAUCGGAAUUACUGGGCGUAAAGCGCGCGUAGGUGGCUUGAUAAGCCGGUUGUGAAAGCCCCGGGCUCAACCUGGGAACGGCAUCCGGAACUGUCAAGCUAGAGCGCAGGAGAGGAAGGUAGAAUUCCCGGUGUAGCGGUGAAAUGCGUAGAGAUCGGGAGGAAUACCAGUGGCGAAGGCGGCCUUCUGGACUGACACUGACACUGAGGUGCGAAAGCGUGGGUAGCAAACAGGAUUAGUACCCGAGUAGUC